GGGGCCAUAGCUCAGCUGGGAGAGCGCUUCGCUGGCAGUGAAGAGGUCAGGGGUUCGAGCCCCCUUGGCUCCACCA
rnacentral:tRNA from 1 species